rnacentral:tRNA from 1 species
GUGGCUGUAGCUCAGUUGGUUCAGAGCGUCUGCUUGUGGAGCAGAAAGUCGUGGGUUCAAGUCCCAUCAGUCACC